GACAGAGGUGCCGAGCGUUAGGCGGAAUCACUGGGCUUAAAGCGUGUGUAGGCGGGGCGUUAAGUGUCUUGUGAAAUCCCCCGGCUCAACCGGGGAAUGGCUGGGCAUACUGGCGAUCUUGAGCAGUCUAGGGGCAGAUGGAACAGACGGUGGAGCGGUGAAAUGCGUAGAUAUCGCUUGGAACGCCAAAGGUGAAAACAGGUUGCUGGGGUUGUGCCGACGCUGAGACACGAAAGCCAGGGGAGCAAACGGG
rnacentral:rRNA from 1 species